rnacentral:rRNA from 1 species
CCUACGGGAGGCAGCAGUGGGGAAUAUUGCACAAUGGGGGAAACCCUGAUGCAGCGACGCCGCGUGAGUGAAGAAGUAUUUCGGUAUGUAAAGCUCUAUCAGCAGGGGAGAAAAUGACGGUACCUGAUUAAGAAGCCACGGCUAACUACGUGCCAGCAGCCGCGGUACUACGUAGGGGGCAAGCGUUAUCCGGAUUUACUGGGUGUAAAGGGAGCGUAGACGGUGAUGCAAGUCAGAAGUGAAAGCCCGGGGCUAAACUCCGGAACUGCUUUUGAAACUGUGUGACUUGAGUGCAGGAGAGGUAAGCGGAAUUCCUGGUGUAGCGGUGAAAUGCGUAGAUAUCAGGAGGAACACCAGUGGCGAAGGCGGCUUACUGGACUGUAACUGACGUUGAGGCUCGAAAGCGUGGGGAGCAAACAGGAUUAGAUACCCGAGUAGUC